AAGUCGUAACAAGGUAACCGUAGGUGAACCUGCGGUUGGAUCAUUAUUUAAAAUUUUUAUUAUUAUUUAAUAAUAAAAAAAAAACACUUGUGAACUUUAUUUUGUUUCUGACUAAUUUAAUUAGUCAACUUUUAAAAACUUUUUAAAAAAUUGUCUUAAUUUUAAAAAAAAUAACUUUUGACAACGGAUCUCUUGGCUCUC
rnacentral:misc_RNA from 1 species